rnacentral:tRNA from 1 species
CGGCCAGCCGGGGGCGGACCCCCGCGAUGAUCAGUGCGGCGAUGACGACCGCGGCCGCCGGCGGCACCGCGUUCCAGCCGCGCAGGCCGCC